rnacentral:rRNA from 1 species
UACGUAGGGGGCAAGCGUUGUCCGGAAUCAUUGGGCGUAAAGCGCGUGUAGGCGGUUCAGUAAGUCUGCUGUGAAAGUCCAGGGCUCAACCCCUGGGGAUGCCGGUGGAUACUGCUGGGCUAGAGUACGGAAGAGGCGAGUGGAAUUCCCGGUGUAGCGGUGAAAUGCGCAGAUAUCGGGAGGAACACCAAUUGCGAAGGCAGCUCGCUGGGACGUCACUGACGCUGAGACGCGAAAAGCGUGGGGAGCAAACAGG